UCUUAUGUACAUGCCUACAACAUAGUGUUAAUGCAUCAUAUCCCAUUAGAACUCCAUAGUUAAGCAUGCUCGGGAUAGAGUAGUACUAGGAUGGGUGACCGCUCGGGAAGUCCUAGUAUUUUACAUGCGUA
rfam:Picea glauca, whole genome shotgun sequence.